rnacentral:rRNA from 1 species
UACAGAGGGUGCAAACGUUGCUCGGAAUUAUUGGGCGUAAAGCGCACGUAGGCGGUUUGGCAAGUUGGAUGUGAAAACCCUGGGCUCAACCCUGGAAGUGCAUCCAAGACUGUCAAGCUCGAGUGUCGGAGGGGGUCGGAGAAUUCCCGGUGUAGAGGUGAAAUUCGUAGAUAUCGGGAGGAACAUCUGUGGCGAAGGCGCCGACCUGGACGACAACUGACGCUGAGGUGCGAAAGCAUGGGGAGCAAACAGG